GUGCCAGCCGCCGCGGUAAUACCGGCAGCCCAAGUGAUGGCCGAUCUUAUUGGGCCUAAAGCGUCCGUAGCUGGCCGCGCAAGUCCGUCGGGAAAUCCACCUGCCCAACAGGUGGGCGUCCGGCGGAAACUGUGUGGCUUGGAACCGGAAGGCUCAGAGGGUACGUCCGGGGUAGGAGUGAAAUCCCGUAAUCCUGGACGGACCACCGGUGGCGAAAGCGCCUCGAGAAGGCGGACCCGACGGUGAGGAACGAAAGCCAGGGUCUCGAACCGGAUUAGAAACCCGGGUAGUCC
rnacentral:rRNA from 1 species